AGUGAACGCUGGCGGUAGGCCUAACACAUGCAAGUCGAACGGCAGCACAGUAAGAGCUUGCUCUUACGGGUGGCGAGUGGCGGACGGGUGGGGAAUACAUCGGAAUCUACUUUUUCGUGGGGGAUAACGUAGGGAAACUUACGCUAAUACCGCAUACGACCUACGGGUGAAAGCAGGGGAUCUUCGGACCUUGCGCGAUUGAAUGAGCCGAUGUCGGAUUAGCUAGUUGGCGGGGUAAAGGCCCACCAAGGCGACGAUCCGUAGCUGGUCUGAGAGGAUGAUCAGCCACACUGGAACUGAGACACGGUCCAGACUCCUACGGGAGGCAGCAGUGGGGAAUAUUGGACAAUGGGCGCAAGCCUGAUCCAGCCAUACCGCAUGGGUGAAGAAGGCCUUCGGGUUGUAAAGCCCUUUUGUUGGGAAAGAAAAGCAGCAGGUUAAUACCCCGCUGUUCUGACGGUACCCAAAGAAUAAGCACCGGCUAACUUCGUG
rnacentral:rRNA from 1 species